GUUGGGUUGGGUUGGGUUGGGUUGGGUUGGGUUGGGUUGGGUGGGGUGCAACAGUGUUUUGGCAUGGUGAUGGUUAUGGUAUGGGCUAGGUCGGGACAGGACCUCACAGACUUGCCUUCAUCCUCAUAGACUUGCCUACAUACUACUCUUUCUCUUGGUUCCUCAUGGGGGGAAAAAAAGGCUUCUACAAGAGAGAACCCAACAGAACACAUUUUCAUGUCAGGCCUACUUUGCUCUUUUAUACAGUCAUUUUAAUGUGCAUACAACGCUAUAGGGCUCCUGAAUUAUGAAAUUUGAUCAAUACAAAUGUAUAUUAUUGGUAAUUUAAUUGAUGCUGCUUCAAGGGAAUUUUGAGAACCAUAUGACAUGACCUUACAGUAAAGUCCCCACAUGGUAAAAUGACUAUUUGUGCCACUGUAGUAAAUAUUUUAGGAGCUGAUAAAAUAGCAGUAGGUACACUGUAGGAUGAUAGAUGGGUAGCAUAUUUAAUGGGUACAUUGUUACAAUGGGGAUGGUUUUUAGAUUGUGACAAGUAACCUCAACAUCAAUGGUAAUUUGUUAAUUAAGAUGCUAGUUACUCCAUGUCUUGACCUAGAAACUCAGUCUUGAAAUAAAACUCUCCCUUUCCUCUUUUCAAUAAAAAAAGUAAUUGCUUAUGGAUACUCCCCUCAUACAACUAUUUGGGUAGCCUAGUGGUUAGAACGUUGGACUAGUAACCAGCAGGUAGCCUAGUGGUUAGAACGUUGGACUAGUAACCAGCAGGUAGCCUAGUGGUUAGAACGUUGGACUAGUAACCAGCAGGUAGCCUAGUGGUUAGAGCGUUGGACUAGUAACCAGCAGGGAGCCUAGUGGUUAGAGCGUUGGACUAGUAACCAGCAGGUAGCCUAGUGGUUAGAACGUUGGACUAGUAACCAGCAGGUAGCCUAGUGGUUAGAACGUUGGACUAGUAACCAGCAGGUAGCCUAGUGGUUAGAGCGUUGGACUAGUAACCAGCAGGUAGCCUAGUGGUUAGAACGUUGGACUAGUAACUGUAAAGGUUGCAAGAUGUUGUUUAAAAAUGCAGUAAACCAACAUUGCCACUGUAGUAGGCUACAUGUUGUUUAAAACACAGUAAACCAACAUAGCUACUGUAGUAGGUCAAAGCUGUUAGUUGUAAAACCUUGGUAGUACAUGGGUAAAGUUAGGCCUUGGUGCCCCUUGUUAAACUUCUUCCAAGCACUCCAGAGUCCAGUCCAGUUAGAGGUUCUGAUGCUCUAAUUGUCCAGUUAGAGGUUUUUAUACUCUAAUUGUCCAGUCCUGUUAGAGGUUCUGAUGCUCUAAUAGUCCAGUCCAGUAAGAGGUUCUGAUGCUCUAAUAGUCCAGUCCAGUAAGAGGUUCUGAUGCUCUAAUAGUCCAAUCCAGUUAGAGGUUAUGAUGCUCUAAUAGGGUGUGGACAUGGAGGGUUGUGGAUCAGAGAUAAGACAGGUAACUGGCUUCACCACCCAGAGGGCAGGUCAUACCGCUUCCUGAGCUGCAUUCCUCUACCGGGGCGGGAGUGGAGCAGAAUAUAGUGUUAGCUAUCCCUCAAUAAGAGGCAGUACUCCAGACAGGCUGGAGAAGAGCAGAAUGUAGCGUUAGCUAUCCCUCAAUAAGAGGCAGUACUCCGGACAGGCUGGAGAAGAGCAGAAUGUAGCGUUAGCUAUCCCUCAAUAAGAGGCAGUACUCCAGACAGGCUGGAGAAGAGCAGAAUGUAGCGUUAGCUAUCCCUCAAUAAGAGGCAGUACUCCGGACAGGCUGGAGAAGAGCAGAAUGUAGCGUUAGCUAUCCCUCAAUAAGAGGCGGUACUCCAGACAGGCUGGAGAAGAGCAGAAUGUAGCGUUAGCUAUCCCUCAAUAAGAGGCGGUACUCCAGACAGGCUGGAGAAGAGCAGAAUGUAGCGUUAGCUAUCCCUCAAUAAGAGGCAGUACACCUGACAGGCUGGAGUGGAGCAGAAUGUCUGCAGGAAGGAGAUGACAUUAUGGCUAAAUGGAGGUACUACGUCUGUCAAGAACUAUGUUGAUGAAAAUGUGUCAAGGUUUUACCUGUAAUUCUGUUGAAUUGCAGGGGUGAAAAUAAAUAACUUAACCCCAGUGAGUGAGUGAGAGAGAGAGAGAGUGUGUGAGAGAGAGAGAG
rnacentral:lncRNA from 1 species